UGGUCUUGACAUACACGGAACUUUCCAGAGAUGGAUUGGUGCCUUCGGGAACCGUGAUAC
rnacentral:rRNA from 1 species